rnacentral:rRNA from 1 species
GUGAACGCUGGCGGUAGGCCUAACACAUGCAAGUCGAACGGCAGCACAGUAAGAGCUUGCUCUUACGGGUGGCGAGUGGCGGACGGGUGAGGAAUACAUCGGAAUCUACUUUUUCGUGGGGGAUAACGUAGGGAAACUUACGCUAAUACCGCAUACGACCUACGGGUGAAAGCAGGGGAUCUUCGGACCUUGCGCGAUUGAAUGAGCCGAUGUCGGAUUAGCUAGUUGGCGGGGUAAAGGCCCACCAAGGCGACGAUCCGUAGCUGGUCUGAGAGGAUGAUCAGCCACACUGGAACUGAGACACGGUCCAGACUCCUACGGGAGGCAGCAGUGGGGAAUAUUGGACAAUGGGCGCAAGCCUGAUCCAGCCAUACCGCGUGGGUGAAGAAGGCCUUCGGGUUGUAAAGCCCUUUUGUUGGGAAAGAAAAGCAGCAGGUUAAUACCCCGCUGUUCUGACGGUACCCAAAGAAUAGGCACCGGCUAACUUCGUG